AACGAACGCUGGCGGCAUGCCUAACACAUGCAAGUCGAACGAGACCUUCGGGUCUAGUGGCGCACGGGUGAGUAACGCGUGGGAACCUGCCCUUAGGCUCGGAACAACUCCCCGAAAGGGGUGCUAAUACCGGAUAAUGUCUCCGGCUCAAAGAUUUAUCGCCUGUGGAUGGGCCCGCGUUGGUUUAGCUAGUUGGUAGGGUAAAAGCCUACAAAGGCGACGAUCCAUAGCUGGUCUGAGAGGAUGAUCAGCCACACUGGGACUGAGACACGGCCCAGACUCCUACGGGAGGCAGCAGUGGGGAAUAUUGGACGAUGGGCGAAAGCCUGAUCCAGCAAUGCCGCGUGAGUGAUGAAGGCCUUAGGGUUGUAAAGCUCUUUUACCCGGGAUGAUAAUGACAGUACCGGGAGAAUAAGCUCCGGCUAACCCCGUG
rnacentral:rRNA from 1 species